rnacentral:tRNA from 1 species
GGCUCGUUGGUCGAUGGGUAUGAUUCUCGCUUCGGGUGCGAGAGGUCCCGGGUUCAAAUCCUGGACGAGCCC